rnacentral:tRNA from 1 species
GUGGAUGUAGCUCAGGGGUUAGAGCGCAGGAUUGUGGAUCCUGAGGUCGAGGGUUCGAAUCCCUUCAUCCACCCCA